GUUGUCCGCAUUUCUCCCUCAACAAAGUUGGCAUGAAAAUGCCACCUCUAUCUCCGGUGAAAUCUAGGUUCUGCUACUCUUCUAUGCUUCUCAAUUUCUUCCAGGUAUGUUCCUCUUCUCCCUUCUCUUUGUAUCUGCUUUGCUUUAUGUUGUCUCCUCCAUCUCAAGUGUACUCCAACAUUGAAGCUCCUCCGAUAUGCAACCAUCGUUGUCGUUCCACCUCAGGUAAGAUAACCUUCCACUUUUUGUUUGUGUGCUGUUGUUCUGGUUGAAAUCUCAAUAUCUCACUCUUCUUCAUGAUUUUCCUCUUCUUGUUGGCACUGUGGUUGACGCCCAAGUCAGAGCUCUCCUUCAAAUAAUCAAGUGUUCUUUUGCUCCAAUCCUCUUGAAUUCGCUCCGGUUUUUGUGCUGAACCAGAAGUGCUACAUUCCACCUUAUCCUCUUCAUUACAAUUGUUCUCCAAAAUUGCAAAGGUGUUUUGUGUUGCUACUUUGUCUGCAUCUGCAUCCAUAUUCUUGGUAUUAUCUCCCACUUUUUCUAUUAUGAUGCCAUUUUUAUCCCUUAUAAAUUUACUUCUUCUAGUCAUCCAUUUUUGUUUGCCAUGUUUAAAGCUGGACAUAUCAUUGUUGAUAUUCUUCCUCUAAUCUGCAGCAGUACCAACUUCAUGAUUUUCCUUCCUCAAUUCCUCCCUGUAUUGUUUCUCCAAUUCUGGAUGUAGAGCCCUACAAUCAGCUUCCCCAUGGCCUUGAAGUUUGCAAUGCUUGCAAUAUUUAGGAAGGUCUUGUUCUGUUUGUUGUUACCAGAUCUACAACUAGUGGUUUCCCAACAGCUGAAGCCAUUGAGAAAACUGCUUCUCUUGCAAAGAAAUUCGGAGGCAACUCUGGAAAACUAAUCCAUGCUACAGCCACUGGGGUUUCCUCCUUUGGAUUAAACCAAGGGUCCCAGAUUAAUGGUCGCAUCUGACAAUAUCUAUCAUGUAUCUUUAAAUAAAAAGCAGGGGUAGACAUCAUCCUUACAUAGUCUUCUAGCAAAUUGAGGCGAAUUAAUAUGUGUCUCUCUUCUGUCAAUCCAAUUGUACAAGGACCUUUAAUCCCACAUUGUGCUGGUACAGCAGUCCUUAAUUCCUUUAUGUCAAUGUUAUCAUACGAAAACUUACCAAGAAUUGCAUAUUGUAAGUUUUCUUGAAUUAUCAAUUGUUUGACCUCCGAUGACU